CCCUCUGGGCAUUCUACCUAACAUGAAAGAAACAGUCCUCUUUGUAUUUAGGGUUCUCAUGGAAGGACUUGAUGAUGAUGGUCAUGUAGACUUCUGGCUUUUAAUCCAUCAAUGUAGGAAUAUCAUGGUGCUUUGAUUAGAUGGUGGUGGUGCAGGCCGCCACCACAAAGAAACCGGAAAAAGAAACAGAAGCGAGAGUAGGGGUUAGUACGGAUUUUAGAGCCACCAUGAAUAGUUAUUAUAAUGAAUUGAAUAUGCAGAGUAUCAGGAUUAAAUUAAAGUGAAGUUAUGAGAAAGCCAUAUUAAAAUAA